ACAUUACAUCUAACGUUAUUUCAAUUAAAACAAAAUGCACAGUAUGCCGCGUGGUCCACGAACUUCCUCGUUUUGUAAUGGCUGUUGAAUGUAAUAUAAUGCGCCUUCCGGCCACCAGCGCUUUGUUGCGCUUCAGCUCCGUCUCUCCUCGUCUUUUCGGUCGGUGACUGGAGAAGAACAGAGGCGAAGUCCAGCUGAACAACAACAACAACAACAACUCCGCACAUUGUGUUUUAUGCAACAAAGUGAUGGAUGGUGAUGAGGAGCUGGAGAAAGCAAUGCAGAGCACAUCACCCACCAAGGAAAAUUUACUUACUGAACACUCAAACACAAUUUUGGUCAAACAGUGUUAUUAAAUGCCAAUCUGUUAUACCAUUGAAUCUUUUUGUGCAUUGCCAGCUGCUGCUCCAUCAUCAUCAUCAUCAUCAUCAUCAUCAUCAUCACUUGCUGAUGUUCCUGGUAACCAGCAGGGUUCAUGAACUGAUUUGCUCAGUAGCGAGGACUUAGCAGGUGAAGAGCGACUGUUGUCUGUUUUAGUACCCUCUGCUUCACUGCACCGACUCCCUGCUGACACCCGAAGGAAACUGCUUGAGCCGCUAGUAGAUGGCCCGCCAUGCCUACAGUAAAGAGAGAGGAGCCCCUUCCUCCUGAGCUGCAGUUUCUGGUGAAAGAGCUCCUAGUCACCAGCAAACUGAGAAGACGGUCUCAGCACCAGGAACCCUCUCACCUUCUGAGACUUCUUCUUCCCCUCAUACACCUGAGCCACCACACACUGGGCCUUUUUACUGUUGUUCCCCCACUGACACCCAGACCGGCCCCUCAUACCCCUGAGCCACCACACAGUAAGGAACCAGCUACACUGAGGUGGUUCUACCUGCGAUGGAAAACAGAGGACGGCGGGCCAAAAGCGACUCAAAGUAGAGAUGAGCUGGUGCCAGCGAUGGAAAAGCACUAUGGCUGGGCCUUCUGCUUUUGUUGCCCCACCGGCACAGAGACCGCAUCAGGAUAUAAGAAGGGUAAGGACAGAGCUCCAGCCUCAGGGACCUUUUUAUUAUAGCAUCUGCCUCCACAUCCAGAACUCACUGACACUGUGUCUGCGCUCCCAUCCCUUUUUCGGGGGGGUAAACCAGAGAGUGACAUUAUGGCGAGACUGAGAAAUAAUUACAUUCUCCCAUGUAUGGGCAUGUAUCUUCUACGAUAAAUCUUAAUUGUUGUUUUAAUGGUGUGUGAGUAGACAUUUUCGAGUAGGCUACGUCACUCGCUUUGCAAAAAACACAUCAGUCACUGCAUCAUGCAUGCAGUAAACAUGUUGCUGCUGAAAGAUUCAUGACGCUACCAGCCUCGCAGUCUAACGUUAAGUUGUUAGACUGAAUUCCUAGACUUGGAUCGACCUCACUUGCAUGGAGCUAGACGUCGACUUUGACUGUCAACAAUUGGUUGCUGUGAAAGACCACAAACUAACCACCGCACAGAAUAUAAAAGGCUCCGGGAGUCAGCUGUCCACGACAGACCUGAACCAGCCGAGGUACCGGCACAAAAACAAGAUCUGGUUUAAACACAACUACACUGAUGACAGAAUCAAACCCACUAAGACAACAGCUUCAACAGAACUCAGAGCUUAACUGGUGACAGAUGAAAAGGUUUACUCAUACUUGCACAGGUGCCUUAAGUGCUUUUAUAUUGUUUUCACUAAAUGCUUCAGUUGUAAAUAAAUAAGACCUGUUUCCAUUAAUGUCAUUAGUAACCAGCAGUUAAACAGUUAAACAGAAACUUAUACUGUACAUUUACUGCUAAAUUGAGGGCUUACUGCUGACACCAAACACUCCUCUACCCCUCUCACACAUGACUUUUACACAUUUUUGAAAGAUGUCAAAAAUCUCUCUCUCUUUAAUUAUCCAAAAUAUAUACAUCCCAGAAACUA